UUGCUGGUGUGGAUGAGUGGCGAACGGGUGAGUAAUACGUGAGUAACCUGCCCUUGACUCUGGGAUAAGCCCGGGAAACUGGGUCUAAUACUGGAUGCUACAUGUCACCGCAUGGUGGUGUGUGGAAAGGGUUUACUGGUCUUGGAUGGGCUCACGGCCUAUCAGCUUGUUGGUGAGGUAAUGGCUCACCAAGGCGACGACGGGUAGCCGGCCUGAGAGGGUGACCGGCCACACUGGGACUGAGACACGGCCCAGACUCCUACGGGAGGCAGCAGUGGGGAAUAUUGCACAAUGGGCGAAAGCCUGAUGCAGCGACGCCGCGUGAGGGAUGACGGCCUUCGGGUUGUAAACCUCUUUCAGCAGGGAAGAAGCCACAAGUGACGGUACCUGCAGAAGAAGCGCCGGCUAACUACGUGCCAGCAGCCGCGGUAAUACGUAGGGCGCAAGCGUUGUCCGGAAUUAUUGGGCGUAAAGAGCUCGUAGGCGGUUUGUCGCGUCUGCUGUGAAAGCCCGGGGCUUAACCCCGGGUGUGCAGUGGGUACGGGCAGACUAGAGUGCAGUAGGGGAGACUGGAAUUCCUGGUGUAGCGGUGGAAUGCGCAGAUAUCAGGAGGAACACCGAUGGCGAAGGCAGGUCUCUGGGCUGUUACUGACGCUGAGGAGCGAAAGCAUGGGGAGCGAACAGGAUUAGAUACCCUG
rnacentral:rRNA from 1 species